UCUGACUAGAGGCUACACCGACACUUUCUCUUUUCCAGAUGAUCCCAGCCCAUCCUGACAAUAGUCUGCUCAAAAGAAAACCUCAAUCCCUUGUCUGUGCUUUGCCAUGAGAAAUAAUGAGCACUGUCCCUGCAAGGAUACCAGCUCAUGAGGCUGAUCUCAGUGUGUGGCCCUAGGGAUUGUCCAUGCAGGCAACUUGUGGAAGUCUCUGGGCAGCAGAAAGAUGUGUGUCUGAUGAUUCCCUGACCAUCCGUGUUACUGGCACUAAUUUGCUAUGCUAAAGAGACUGGCACUUUCUGAGGUUAUUGGAAUGAGAUAAUAUCCUCUUAUCUUCUCUACUUUCCCUUCAG
rnacentral:lncRNA from 1 species